CACUGUUGGACACUAUGGGUUGUAAAGUGCAUCCUUGGGCUAAAGAAAUGUAGCUUGAUGAGCCAAAUUGGAACAGUAUUGUCUGUUCCAAUCUUUAAAUAGUAUUUUCAGCAUUUGCAUUUACUACCAGUCCAGAGUAAGUGUCUAUUCCUGCUGGGACCCAUUUGUAGCUCCCAGGGGCUACUGGCAUUGGUCUAAUAUAAUCCACUUACCAGCUAUGUGUGGGGCCUUCCCCAUGUAGAAUCUUCUCUGUAGCCAUCUGCAAUCUCUAUCUCUCCUGUUGACAGAUGAAACAGUUCUUGGUGACAUUCUGUGCUUCAGAGAGUGAAGAGGAAUAUGUCUACAUUCAGUCCAUUUCUGCAUGGCUGUAACCCCCACACCAUGUUCACUUAUUUCAUGGACCCAGCUCACCACCUCAUGGGAGAGCAUCAAUAAGUCUAUAUGAUGGUUUAAGUCACCUCCUGAACCUGUGCAGUUAACACUGGGAGAGGACGACUAGAUGCUCAACGUUUUGAAUUCUCCUAUUCUCUGCCCCAUGCAUCUCUUCCUUUGGCUGAUUUUGGUAUAUAUUCUUUUGCUGCAAUAAACUGUAACCAUGAGGACAAU
rnacentral:lncRNA from 1 species